rfam:Stegodyphus mimosarum contig9076, whole genome shotgun sequence.
GCUUUCGUGGUGUAAUGGUCAGUACGCUGGACUCGUAUUCGAGAGGUCCGCGGUUCGAGUCCCGGCAAGGGCA